GAGGGUAUAGCUCAGUGGUAGAGCGAGCAUGCACAAGGUCCUGGGUUCAAUCCCCAGUAUCUUCA
rnacentral:tRNA from 1 species